rnacentral:rRNA from 1 species
GGAAGGAUCAUUAUUGAAAUAAACCUGAUGGGUUGUUGCUGGUUCUCUAGGGAGCAUGUGCACACCUUGUCAUCUUUAUAUCUCCACCUGUGCACUUUUUGUAGACCUUUCAGGUCUAUGUUGCUUCAUUUACCCCAAUGUAUGUUAAUAGAAUGUUGUGCCUAUAUAAUAUAUACAACUUUCAGCAACGGAUCUCUUGGCUCUCGCAUCGAUGAAGAACGCAGCGAAAUGCGAUAAGUAAUGUGAAUUGCAGAAUUCAGUGAAUCAUCGAAUCUUUGAACGCACCUUGCGCUCCUUGGUAUUCCGAGGAGCAUGCCUGUUUGAGUGUCAUUAAUAUAUCAACCUUCUCUUUUUUGAGUUGUUUGGAUGUGGGGGUUUGCUGGCUUCUUAAAUGAUUCAGCUCCCCUGAAAUGCAUUAGCAGAACAACCUGUUCAUUGGCGUGAUAAUUAUCUAUGCUAUUGAAUGUGAGGGCAGUUCAGCUUUCUAACCGUCCUCGGACAAUUCAUCAUUAAUGUGACCUCAAAUCAGGUAGGACUACCCGCUGAACUUAAGCAUAUCAAUAAGCGGAGGAAAAGAAACUAACAAGGAUUCCCCUAGUAACUGCGAGUGAAGCGGGAAAAGCUCAAAUUUAAAAUCUGGCGGUCUUUUGGCUGUCCGAGUUGUAAUCUAGAGAAGUGUUAUCCGCGCUGGACCGUGUACAAGUCUCCUGGAAUGGAGCAUCAUAGAGGGUGAGAAUCCCGUCUUUGACAUGGACUGCCAGGGCUUUGUGAUGCGCUCUCAAAGAGUCGAGUUGUUUGGGAAUGCAGCUCAAAAUGGGUGGUAAAUUCCAUCUAAAGCUAAAUAUUGGCGAGAGACCGAUAGCG